CACCCGGGGCACUCCAGGCGACUGCCAGCCCUGUCCUUGCCAUGGACCCCAUGGGGACACCCAGGUGACAAAGGUCUGCUUUGAGGACACGGACGGGCAGCCCACGUGCAGUGCCUGUGCCCCAGGGCACAGCGGGCGCCUCUGCGAGAGGUGCUCGCCUGGGUACGUGGGGGACCCGCUGCGGGGAGAGCCAUGCCGAGUGCCUGGUGUCCCCAGCGUGCAAUGCCAGUGU